UUUUUUUUCACGUGACGGAAGGGGGUAGAUGCGAGCCGACCGUAUCGGCUCAAGCCGUGCGCUCGGCUAUACCUGUAUGGGCACGCCGCAUACGGCAUGGGAUAUUUUAAGCACAGUAUGCCCAAAAUGCCUUAUACGUUGAGCGCGCGGGGCGAGGGUUGGUACCAAAGCAAGGGUAUGUGAACAAUGAUGAAAAGUGGAUAAUGAGAAUGAGAUGUAUCUAAAGAGAAAUUUGCUUUAUUUUAGAAUUCUGCGACGAAAUCAUAAAUUCCCUACCAUUUAUACCGCCCAGAAAUAAAGAAUAAACCCUCUACCAUUUAUACCGCCCAGAAAUAAAGAAUAAACCCUCUCCAUUCUAUUUAAAGCUCAAGUAUCUCGAUGUGGAGCACCCCUCACGCAUCUCGAUGGCUUGAGGGUGCCGCAUCACCUCCUGAAGAACCGACGGAGUAUAAUACAGAGCGCUGUAACAAAUGGUUAUAUGUGGACGCCAUAUUAACCACAUAAAUAUUACCCAAACGCUAGUGAACGUUGACAUAAUCCCACAUAAGGACUAGUUGGUGCGGGCAAGUCCCACAAUGCCCAACAAUCUAUCCAUUUGCAUCCUGAUACGCCAUUGUGAAGAUGAAUAUAGUGUACCCCAUUGCGAUAAUCAUGCUGCAUUUGCAUAACUGGUUUGAAGGGUAGCAGGUGGAGACGAAGAACACAAAGACGUCACAUGCGUUUGUGAAUUUGUCACCAAACCAACAAGUUUCUUUCUGCGGGUAAAACUUGCAUUACUCAAUGUAGUUGAGCCGCUUCUGAAGCACCAGACCCAAGCCGGUCGUAGUUCUGCCCUCUAAACAAGAGGAGUUAUUACAAGAACGACUAGCAUGAGUAAUCUUGUUCGACAUAAGGCAACAAGAAAUGCAAAUUAUUCAAUAGCAAUUCUGUCACUCCACCAUAUGCAGGCAAAAGGCGAAACAAGGGCACAAUUCAAUGCAAGAAUCUGCAGACAAACAACAGCAGCACAGGUAUUGGCAAGAUAUCAAGGGCUCACUUACUGAUCCCCUAAAAAAACAUUAGUAUCUCUCACUUGUACUCCUCCGUCUGGAGUAUCCAUUUCUCGACCCUCAAAAAACAUGGGCAACGAAUCCAUCUCAAUCGCCACCAUGAAGGCAUGAUCUGUCUAGAGCACAGAUAUCAAUUAGGGGAGAACCGAAGUCAUAAUACAAGAAGCUGCUAAGCUUCCAAACCGAAACAAGCAAGCAAACACCAUGAUCGAAAUUUGCCUACUGCUAAACGACGAGAGCGGCAACCAAAAGACAUUCGACUAUUUACCAUGGUGACUAGCCGCCAAAAGACACUAUUUUUUUAAAACACCAAAAGACACUAUUUAACAUUGUGUGUUGCAGACUCAGGGCUAGUUUGGUUCGUUACCUAGGCUCCAUGCCUGGGUCAAAGUAGUGCCUGGCGUGCGCCUGGAAAUUUGAGAGAAAUUGCCUGGCCAGGCUAGCCUGGCUGUAUGGCGUUUGGUGUGUGUCCGCUGCCUGGCCGGCUGUUAACUACUCAUAAAUAAAUGUUCACUCUUGAGCCAACCAAACAGUACCGCAUGCAGUAUAAUUAAUGUCCAGGCACGAGCCAGGCGUCCGAAUACUUGCGCCUGCGUGAGGCUAACAAACUUGCCUGGCGCUCCAACCAGGCUAAUGACCAUGAUAUUUCAGGCCAGGCUACUGUUUCCUUUCCCAGGAUGCUAUCCAAACAACCUCCAGGCUAGUCCCAGGCAGGCUCCAGGCCAGGCAGUUUUCUUCCAGGUAUCCAACCAAACUGACCCUCAACCAUGGUGAAUCUGUCCUGCAAACUCCACCAUGCCGACGAGAGCUCCAUGGCCCAGCAGCUGCCUACUGCGUCAUCAUGUACCAGAGAUGAACAUAAAUAAAACAGAGCAGAACCACAGAUGAACUAAAAUAAAACAGAGUAAGAAAAGAUCAAGAGUAGGGAAGCACCAAAUUUAAACGAGAAGCUCUAAGCUUCAAGGGUUCCAAAACAACAAGCAAACAUCAUGAUCCAUCAUGUCCUUCAGACCAACGACUCCAACGAACCACUACUACUACUACUUCCAGCUACUAGAUGACACGACGACAGACGACUGACACCACCGAGCGGCAUCGAAAGGACACCCAUCAAGCAACGCGCAGACCGGAGACCACCACGGAACAACAAAAGCUUAG
rnacentral:lncRNA from 1 species